ensembl:snRNA U1 U1 spliceosomal RNA
GUGCUGCGUUCACAAGGGGACACAACAGGCAGGAAGGUGGUUUUCCCAGGGUGAGGCUCAUCCUUUGAACUCUGUCGUAUGCUAAACCCUGCAGUUUCUCCAAAUGCAGGAAGCUCCUCUGCAUAAUUUGGGGUAGUGGCAGAUUGUGUUCUUACUCUUCCCUG